rnacentral:rRNA from 1 species
UAGGGAAUAUUGGACAAUGGGCGCAAGCCUGAUCCAGCCAUGCCGCGUGAGUGAAGAAGGCCCUCGGGUUGUAAAGCUCUUUUGUCCGGAAAGAAAAGCAUCGGGCUAAUACCCUGGUGUUCUGACGGUACCGGAAGAAUAAGCACCGGCUAACUUCGUGCCAGCAGCCGCGGUAAUACGAAGGGUGCAAGCGUUACUCGGAAUUACUGGGCGUAAAGCGUGCGUAGGUGGUUUGUUAAGUCUGAUGUGAAAGCCCUGGGCUCAACCUGGGAAUGGCAUUGGAAACUGGCGGACUCGAGUGCGGUAGAGGGGUGUGGAAUUCCCGGUGUAGCAGUGAAAUGCGUAGAGAUCGGGAGGAACACCAGUGGCGAAGGCGACACCCUGGACCAGCACUGACACUGAGGCACGAAAGCGUGGGGAGCAAACAGGAUUNGAUACCCUGGUAGUCCACGCCCUAAAACGAUGCGACUGGAUGUUGGGUGCAACUUGGCACUCAGUAUCGAAGCUAACGCGUUAAGUUCGCCGCCUGGGGAGUACGGUCGCAAGACUGAAACUCAAAUGAAUUGACGGGGUCAUAGC